CUAGUUGCAUGAUCAUCAAUAUGUUACUUCUCUGUGCCUUAGUUUCCACAUCUGAAAAUUGAGGGAGUCAGCUACUAAAUUACAAAGAAAUUCCAGCAACCACAAGGAGAGGUCCACAAAGUGAGAGAUUGAACCCUCGAGCUAACAAGCAUGUGAGUGAGACAUGUUGGAAGUGGAUUCUCCAGCUCCAGUCAAGCCUUCAGAUGAAUGCAGCUCCAGCCAACAUCUCACUGCAGCUUUAUGAGAGCCUCUGAGCUGGAGCCACUAGGCCAAGCUGUUCCCAAAUUCCUGACUCUCAGAAACUGUGAAUCUGCAAAAUCUGUCUUAAAGAAAAUGGUCAGUCUUUCCUUUCUUCUAAACAUCUCUGAUUUUUUCAUCUUGUUUCCUGACUAUUCACAGACAGCAACAAUAACAGAUUCUGGAAAGAAGGAUUUGUAGUCGGGCAUUUGUCUGAGAAAACUCUCAGGCUGACUUGCCCAACUGGUAGGGCUGAUUCUAUCAGAUUCCUUAUCCAUACUUUGUUGUUGGAGGAUUUGUCUCAAGGCACCUGGCAAGACCCACAGGAAAUGACACCUGAGAUGUAUACACCACUUGCCUCACUGCUUUAUCCACCAACGGACCCUUUAUCUGGGACCAAAGAUUCUGAGCUGAAAGGGCCCUCAGAGCAGCCAAGGCAUGCAUGAGAAGAGAAGGGCUAUGAAGUGGAAGCUGAGGGAGCGUGGACUGCAGGCUUGGGAGAGGGAGCAUGGUGUCCUGCAGAGCCACAUGCUGGCAGAACUGGGUCUACAGACACAUUUUAUUCAGUCCCUAAAGCACAGAAAGUGAGGACUUCUAAUAUGUGGUACCAGAGUGUGCAGCAAAGAACCUUCUGCAAAGAGCUUUGGCUGCAGAUGUUCAAGAUUUGCCAUGGACUCCAGAACUCUCAAAUCACUUGGAAAUUUGUCUAUGCAGCAUUAUCUGGUGUCAUGCCUGAGAUAUUGAAGGAAAAGCCCCAGCCUUUCAGGGGUUUCUGAGAAGAAU
rnacentral:lncRNA from 1 species